UCUCUCUCUCUGAAAAGUGGGAUACUUAAAUAACUUUUAGACUCUAAUUGGAAGAGAAAAUGUCAGUUUCUUCAUUUUCUUCCAGGGCUUUUAUUGAAGUUUUGGCAAUCUUUGCUCUACUCUUUGCUAUUGUUUCGCCUACUUUGGCUUUGUAUCCGACUCAUGAUUCUGUUCAUGUUGACAUCCAUAAACGAUGUGAAAGUUUAAGCGAAACUUGGCACGGGAGAUGUAGGAGCACGGGAAACUGUGAUAGGCAUUGCAGGAAUCAGGAGCAGGCAGAACAUGGGGCAUGUCAUGGGUUUUGGCAUAAAAAAUGCUAUUGCUAUCACGUAUGUGCUUCAGUAGAAGACAAUCAAAACGCAUCGAAAACUGACCGUCCGGACGGUUAAAAUGAAAACCGCUUUUGUUGAGUUGUACGCGCGUCAAAACUUUCAUUGUCUCAGGAAAUUGCCUUCCUUGAGAUAUUUGAUGCAGAUCUUGCCAUAUUAAGCCAUUUUCAGGUUGGAGAAUAUAUUCUGCAAUAUUUGAAAAGUCAUUAAUUUCACCUUGUUGAAGGCAGCAAAUGUUAUGAACUCAAACAUGAUAUUGCUAUCAUGAAUGUGCCUGAGUACAAGACAAUGAAAAUGCAUCGAGAGGCGUAAAAAGACUCUUUUAACAGUAGUUGUUGCAACUUGCUGGCAGGCAUAAUAAAUGACAAUGUUAUCGAUGAAUAAACUAAUGAAUACUCAAUAUCAUUUUUCAUC